rnacentral:rRNA from 1 species
AGUGAACGCUGGCGGUAGGCCUAACACAUGCAAGUCGAACGGCAGCACAGUAAGAGCUUGCUCUUACGGGUGGCGAGUGGCGGACGGGUGAGGAAUACAUCGGAAUCUACUUUUUCGUGGGGGAUAACGUAGGGAAACUUACGCUAAUACCGCAUACGACCUACGGGUGAAAGCAGGGGAUCUUCGGGCCUUGCGCGAUUGAAUGAGCCGAUGUCGGAUUAGCUAGUUGGCGGGGUAAAGGCCCACCAAGGCGACGAUCCGUAGCUGGUCUGAGAGGAUGAUCAGCCACACUGGAACUGAGACACGGUCCAGACUCCUACGGGAGGCAGCAGUGGGGAAUAUUGGACAAUGGGCGCAAGCCUGAUCCAGCCAUACCGCGUGGGUGAAGAAGGCCUUCGGGUUGUAAAGCCCUUUUGUUGGGAGAGAAAAGCAGCAGGUUAAUACCCCGCUGUUCUGACGGUACCCAAAGAAUAAGCACCGGCUAACUUCGUG